UGGGAUGUGGCUCAGUGGUAGAGUGCUUGCCUAGCAUCAUGAAUGAGGCCCUGGGUUCAAUUCCUUGCAACACAC
rnacentral:tRNA from 1 species